CGGGGCUGCGGGGCUCGGGGCUGCGGGCUCCUUUCGCACCCGCGUCCGGCCGUGCCUGGGCGGGCCGGGCCCCGGCGCCGUCCUUCUCCGCAAGGGUGCGGCCGCUGGUCGCCGCACUGCGCCGCGUUCCUGGGGCGGCUGAAGCUGGUGGCUCUGAGGGCGACGGGCCGGGGUCGAGGCGGUUCCUGUGGUGCUUCAGGCCUGGGGGUACCUCAGGGCCUCUGCCGCGCCUUCCCCGGGAGGCCGCGGCGGGCGCUUCGCAUUCCCCAUGGGCUGGCCGCGGAGAGGCUUUGAAGUGCAUCACUCCGCUGGAGCGGGCAUGGACACGCUGUUCCGAGCGCAGCCCUAGUCUUGUCAGGAAUUCAGUCUCCAUUAAAUCGGGUCUUAAAAGUCUGAACAAAGCUGGAUCCAGAGCAUCUUCUCACAAACAAUCAAGUAAUGUGAUGAAUAAAACACAAAGAUGGUGAUCUGGUGACGGGCAAAAGAACGAGAUAGUGGAAAGCCAGGAGACCAUGCUUCCAAGAAAAUUGUUUGGGUUCUCUGGAAAAAAGCUAUUACAGGUUCAGAGAGGAAAGAAACAUCACUUUUAUAGCUGUAAGUAGCCAUCUCUCUGUCAUUCUCAGUACUGGGAUAUACCUUGAACUUGGAAGGCUCUCAGGGAGGCUAUAGCCAGAACCUAAGACCAGUUGGAAACUAAAUUAAAUUCUUAUAUCCUGUCCUGUGACAAAACUUAAAGUAUGUCUUAAAUACACCUAUUUCAAUAUUAUGUUAUUAGCCAGAUGUAGAUGUUUAGUGCUGCAGAGUUUUGUGUGUUGUGGUCCCAGGGUCUCUCCAGUCACUGGGCUGUUCAUAUUAAUCUAGUUUUAUUGCUUCCUUCUGUAGUGAUAAAUUGAUGUAGUUCUGUCUUUCUAUAUUUGUAUACAUUUGGAAACACUGAAUAUUGAUAAUAACAGUGCAGUUAGUAGUGCUGAUGCCGUUACCUUGUUUUAGCAAAAUUGAGCAGUUAAUAUUUAUCUCCAAAUCUGCUCUACUAUGUUUAUUUUCACUCAAACCUUUAGUUUCACCUCUAGUAACUUCUGCAUUGAUAACACAUUUUCUGUAUGAAGUCAAGUAGACUAAAACUACAUUAAGAGAUAACAGUUCUUAAAUAAAGCACGAAGAAUUGCAGAUUUUCA
rnacentral:lncRNA from 1 species